rnacentral:rRNA from 1 species
CCUACGGGAGGCAGCAGUGAGGAAUAUUGGUCAAUGGCCGUAAGGCUGAACCAGCCAAGUCGCGUGAAGGAAGAAGGAUCUAUUGUUUGUAAACUUCUUUUAUAGGGGAAUAAAGGUAUCCACGUGUGGAUAUUUGCAUGUACCCUAUGAAUAAGCAUCGGCUAACUCCGUGCCAGCAGCCGCGGUAAUACGGAGGAUGCGAGCGUUAUCCGGAUUUAUUGGGUUUAAAGGGUGCGUAGGUUGUUUUUUAAGUCAGCGGGGAAAGUUUGUGGCUCAACCAUAAAAUUGCCGUUGAAACUGGAAGACUUGAGUGUGUUUGAGGUAGGCGGAAUGCGUGGUGUAGCGGUGAAAUGCAUAGAUAUCACGCAGAACUCCGAUUGCGAAGGCAGCUUACUAAGCCAUAACUGACACUGAAGCACGAAAGCGUGGGGAUCAAACAGGAUUAGAUACCCGAGUAGUC